ACUUUCUUAGUACAAAAGUACAGAUGACUUCCAAUUAUCAAAUCUUGGUGAAACCCCAAGAGAAAGUA
rnacentral:tRNA from 1 species